UAAGAUUUUUCAUACGGCCAAAAACAAAAGUUUUGACCCAAAUUAAUUGCUCAAUUAUUAAUAUUUUUAAACGGAAGCAUUUAGGUUUCCUCUAUUAUCAGCUGCUUUGCUCUCUCACCUGUAACGCUCCGCCUCCAUCUAUGACGCUAACAAAUUGGCUCAUGUAUAUAUCUCUCUUUUCCUCCCGUCUCAAUAGUUUCUGUUCUAUGUUUUUUAACAGUUUCCAAGGUCUAUGAUACCAAGGGAGCCCUUAAAGAAUUUGUUGAUCACUCAGUUCAAGUUAUUGUUAAAUAGUUUUUCAGGCUUGGAAGUUGUUUUUGAUGAAGAAAUUAGACAUUCAACUAUGUUGGACUCCAAUAUAGAAUCAAAGGGUACACCACGCGUAAUCUGAUCUGAUUCCAAACUUCACUGGCACCUAAGGAGGUACUGCCUUGCAAAGCCACAAAAUCUGGUUGUUGAUCAUCAAGGGACAAAAGUGGCGCUGAAAUAGCAAAAGUUGAUAAUAUUUUCCAGAUAUGAUAUGUGGUAUAUGCCAAUGAUAAUUGGAGUAGAUGUCUAAUAGUCGAGCAGUUAGGGAAUUUUCAUACUGAACAUGCCAUAAGUCGGCAAAAACUUAUACCAACAAGAGGGGAUGUGAAGGUAAAUCAAUACUAA